rnacentral:rRNA from 1 species
CGCGUAGGCGGGCGAUCAAGUCAGGGGUGAAAUCUUUCGGCUCAACCGGAAAAUAGCUUUUGAUACUGAUUGUCUCGAGGGAGGUAGGGGCAUGUGGAACUUCCGGUGGAGCGGUGAAAUGCGUUGAUAUCGGAAGGAACGCCGGUGGCGAAAGCGACGUGCUGGACCUCUUCUGACGCUGAGGCGCGAAAGCUAGGGUAGCGAACGGGAUUAGAUACCCCGGUAGUCCUAGCCCUAAACGAUGGGUACUAGGUAGUGGACUUGACAUGGGUUCACUGCCGAAGCAAAAGUGUUAAGUACCCCGCCUGGGGAGUAUGGUCGCAAGGCUGAA